CACCAUAAACAUUUGAUUUAACGAUUCAUGUUCAUGCUCACGGCUUUAAACAAAAGCAAACACAUGCUUAUGGGCCUGGACUACUGAACUGUUGGAGUUCACAUCCAAACCAGAAUGCGAUACCGUUCGGAACAUGCUAGUGGUACAAUCACCCCACGUCCAUUUUUUCUUCCUACAUAAAAUACCCAAAACACAUAAUUUCACUUACUUCCAUCUCCCACGAAUCUAUAGAUUGAUAUUCCACGAAAGAAAUAACACGUCAUAUAAUUUGUUGUCUUUAAUUAUUUACAGAAGGCCGUCCUCGUCUCAUUGUAAAACGUCUUGUUCCAUCGGGCAUUUAAGGGCCAGGACUGGCUUUGAGGGUUCAAUGGCAUGUGCAGAGCCUGUAGUUCCACGACUUGAGGCUGAGUGGGAAACAUAAAAUACAUUAAUGAUGCAACGUCACAACGAGAAAGACAAGAACUUGCCUACACUGGGCAUAUGAUGUACGCCCAAUGUAGCCAAGCAUUUAUCAAGUGGUUUGUAAAUUUUUUAUACCAAGCCCAUUAGUGGCAUGAUGUUUGUUCCUCCAUGGUCGUCCCCGAUUUCGACCCCUUUGUCCAAUUUUCUCCAUAGAUAAAAUAUGAUGCAGCAAACCUCUUGCAACAAUUUUUUUUUUUCAAAUUUUGCAGAGCAGAUAAGAUGAUAAUGUUUCCAAUAGCCAUUAUCAGGGAAUGCUUAAAAAUAUUUUUUCAUCAGGAUAUGAUUGAUGGAAUGAGAGUAGGAUUAACUACCUGAGAAAAAUAUUAUACAAAUUUUCUAUCAAAUGAUAGAUAAAUAUUUAGCUCAAAAUAUAAGUAUCAAUUACCUCUUCAUCAGGUGUAUCAUCAUGGUGCUCACUUGAGCGAUGAUUCUCCUCAUCUCCCAUUUGAUUAGAUGCAUGACGAGUGCUAUUCUUUUCAGUAUCAGUUCCCUCCAGGCUUGUCUUUUCUGUUCACACUUGCCUUAAAGCCAGAUAACAUUACUACCUGUUAUUGUCAAUAAUGUAGAAGAAAAAAAAGACCAUCCUCACCAUUCCCUUG
rnacentral:misc_RNA from 1 species